rnacentral:rRNA from 1 species
AGUGAACGCUGGCGGUAGGCCUAACACAUGCAAGUCGAACGGCAGCACAGUAAGAGCUUGCUCUUACGGGUGGCGAGUGGCGGACGGGUGAGGAAUACAUCGGAAUCUACUUUUUCGUGGGGGAUAACGUAGGGAAACUUACGCUAAUACCGCAUACGACCUACGGGUGAAAGCAGGGGAUCUUCUGACCUUGCGCGAUUGAAUGAGCCGAUGUCGGAUUAGCUAGUUGGCGGGGUAAAGGCCCACCAAGGCGACGAUCCGUAGCUGGUCUGAGAGGAUGAUCAGCCGCACUGGAGCUGGGACACGGUCCAGACUCCUACGGGAGGGAGCAGUGGGGAAUAUUGGACAAUGGGCGCAAGCCUGAUACAGCCAUACCGAGUGGGUGAAGAAGGCCUUCGGGUUGUAAAGCCCUUUUGUUGGGAAAGAAAAGCAGCAGGUUAAUACCCCGCUGCUCUGACGGUACCCAAAGAAUAAGCACCGGCUAACUUCGUG